GUAGGGUGCAAGCGUUAAUCGGAAUUACUGGGCGUAAAGCGUGCGCAGGCGGCUAUGCAAGACAGAUGUGAAAUCCCCGGGCUCAACCUGGGAACUGCAUUUGUGACUGCAUGGCUAGAGUGUGGCAGAGGGGGAUGGAAUUCCGCGUGUAGCAGUGAAAUGCGUAGAUAUGCGGAGGAACACCGAUGGCGAAGGCAAUCCCCUGGGCCUGCACUGACGCUCAUGCACGAAAGCGUGGGGAGCAAACAGGAUUAGAUACCCUGGUAGUCCACGCCCUAAACGAUGUCAACUGGUUGUUGGACGGCUUGCUGUUCAGUAACGAAGCUAACGCGUGAAGUUGACCGCCUGGGGAGUACGGCCGCAAGGUUG
rnacentral:rRNA from 1 species